rnacentral:rRNA from 1 species
UGGGGAAUUUUGGACAAUGGGCGAAAGCCUGAUCCAGCAAUGCCGCGUGUGUGAAGAAGGCCUUCGGGUUGUAAAGCACUUUUGUCCGGAAAGAAAUCCUUGGCUCUAAUACAGUCGGGGGAUGACGGUACCGGAAGAAUAAGCACCGGCUAACUACGUGCCAGCAGCCGCGGUAAUACGUAGGGUGCAAGCGUUAAUCGGAAUUACUGGGCGUAAAGCGUGCGCAGGCGGUUUGCUAAGACCGAUGUGAAAUCCCCGGGCUCAACCUGGGAACUGCAUUGGUGACUGGCAGGCUAGAGUAUGGCAGAGGGGGGUAGAAUUCCACGUGUAGCAGUGAAAUGCGUAGAGAUGUGGAGGAAUACCGAUGGCGAAGGCAGCCCCCUGGGCCAAUACUGACGCUCAUGCACGAAAGCGUGGGGAGCAAACAGGAUUAGAUACCCUGGUAGUCCACGCCCUAAACGAUGUCAACUAGUUGUUGGGGAUUCAUUUCCUUAGUAACGUAGCUAACGCGUGAAGUUGACCGCCUGGGGAGUACGGUCGCAAGAUUAAAACUCAAGGAAUUGAC